rnacentral:sRNA from 1 species
ACUGGGUUUUGUGCUGUGCACCUAUAGUCCCAGCUCCUAAGAGGCAGAGGCAUGAGAUUUGCUUGAGCCUAGGAGUUGGGGACCACCUGGGCAAUAAAGCAAGACCCUACCUCAA